AGUCAGCACCAUGUCACCCUAUGGAGACUGGCCUCCAUCCCUGGGAUUUGCUGGUAGAAGAAAGGGAAUCAGCGCUGACUGAGCUCCUACUAUGUGCCCUUCCUGGGCCUGGCACUGGAAUCACAGGAUGAAUGAAUAAGGCAUAUUUCCUGCCCUGAGGAGGCGUCUAUAGGGGAAGUCGGAAUUAAGGCACCUCCAGAAUUCUGAGGUCAAGGGAAUGUCAACAGAGCUGUGAACAAAAUGCCCAAAGCCAUGAAAAUCUACAGAGAGAGACUCGAAGGGGAGGAAUGGGGCCAGGCUGAGGUCGGGAUGGUGGAGGAGGUGGUGGAGGUGAUGAGGUACCAGAGCAACCUCGAAGAAAGCUGAGAGGCAGGAGACCGCCAAAGGCAAACUUGGAACACCUGGUGACUCCGACUAACUCUCCAUGUGGUGUCCUUGAGGACUUUUAUGAUACUGCUACCACUGCUAAUAGUAAUAAAAGCCACUAUUUAAUGUGUUUACUAU
rnacentral:lncRNA from 1 species